GACGAACGCUGGCGGCGUGCUUAACACAUGCAAGUCGAACGGACAGGCCCUGCUUUUGUGGGGUGCUCGAGUGGCGAACGGGUGAGUAACACGUGAGUAACCUGCCCUUGACUUUGGGAUAUCUUCAGGAAACUGGGGAUAUUACCGGAUAGGAGCUCCUGCUGCAUGGUGGGGGUUGGAAAGUGUCGGCGGUUGGGGAUGGACUCGCGGCUUAUCAGCUUGUUGGUGGGGUAGUGGCUUACCAAGGCUUUGACGGGUAGCCGGCCUGAGAGGGUGACCGGCCACAUUAGGACUGAGAUACGGCGCAGACUCCUACGGGAGGCAGCAGUGGGGAAUAUUGCACAAUGGGCGGAAGCCUGAUGCAGCAACGCCGCGUGCGGGAUGACGGCCUUCGGGUUGUAAACCGCUUUCGCCUGUGACGAAGCGUGAGUGACGGUAAUGGGUAAAGAAGCACCGGCUAACUACGUG
rnacentral:rRNA from 1 species